rnacentral:piRNA from 1 species
UGGCAAGUUGUGAGACUUCCACAGUUAC